rnacentral:sRNA from 1 species
UCAAACAAUGUUUACAGUCACUAUAAGUUUUAAUCACUAAUACUUAUGUAAAUAUAGUGUUUGGACCACGCCAUCUAUGGAUCGAAUGAUUCAUAUUCAAGACUAGAUGUAAUUGAGAAUAUCUAGAUCUAGUAUAGAUUCUUCACCGUUUUUAGUUUCCAUUUCCUUCUUAACACCGAAACUGAAACUCCAAAUAUUUUGAACGUGAAAGAGCAGGAGUCAAGGCCUUGGGCCGCAUCGGCCCUGUCACAGCCCCCAAGAUGGACGACGUCCGCUUUGAGUGGAUCCGUGACAGGGUUUACGACGGGCUAAACCUUCUGAACCCUGCCAUCUUUGAGGUAUUCCUGGAAACCUAUGAGAGCCAGCUGUCCAUGUUCCUGAACAAGGGCCCAGAGAAACACGACAACCCGGUCAGCAUUCUCUUCUACAAGGAGAAAAUAUUUAUACCAAAAGUUGUGCAACAAGGUACGCUUGGCAGUGUUCCCAGCUUUGCUCUAUCUGAUGACGACCUAGGGCUGAAUGCAUUGUCCUCAGUGAUGUCAAUGUCGAUAGUAAAGACUAGUGAAGGUAA